GGAGAGUUUUUCCAAUUCAGCUAUUUUGACCUUAAAUUUGAAAUUAACUUUGAAUUCCAACAACUCUUACAUGACUGAAUAACCUAGUGUGGGUUUCAUAGCUUUAUGACUCUGUUAUAAAUCUACUUUUGUGAAAAGGAACAGAGGGGUUUGAAUACAAAAACCUUUCUUGCUGGAGAUUUGGGUUGAGACUUUAUGUAUG